rnacentral:tRNA from 1 species
CCUUAGCUGGCUCAGUUGGUAGAGCGGUGGACUGUAGAUCCAUAGGUCGCUGGUUCAAAUCCGGCUCGAAGGA